CAGUCGCCGCGGGAAUACGGAGGGGGCUAGCGUUGUUCGGAAUUACUGGGCGUAAAGCGCACGUAGGCGGCUUGGUAAGUUAGAGGUGAAAGCCUGGAGCGCAACUCUAGAAUUGCCUUUAAGACUGCCGAGCUAGCAGGUGAGAGAGGUAAGUGGAAUUCCGAGUGUAGAGGUGAAAUUCGUAGAUAUUCGGAAGAACAUCAGUGGCGAAGGCGGCCAUCUGGGACAACACUGACGCUGAGGCACGAAAGCGUGGGGAGCAAACAGGAUUAGAUACCCCCGUAGUCCCUGUCUCUUAUAC
rnacentral:rRNA from 1 species